rnacentral:ncRNA from 1 species
GCCGAUAGGGGAGCCUUCGUGCUGAGAGGUGGCCUAGCCACGACCCUAUGACCUGAACUAGAUAAUGCUAGCGGAGGGAAUCGGGACA